rnacentral:rRNA from 1 species
AACGAACGCUGGCGGCAUGCCUAACACAUGCAAGUCGAACGAGACCUUCGGGUCUAGUGGCGCACGGGUGCGUAACGCGUGGGAACCUGCCCUUAGGUUCGGAAUAACUCCCCGAAAGGGGUGCUAAUACCGGCUAAUGUCUUCGGACCAAAGAUUUAUCGCCUUUGGAUGGGCCCGCGUUGGAUUAGCUAGUUGGUAGGGUAAAAGCCUACCAAGGCGACGAUCCAUAGCUGGUCUGAGAGGAUGAUCAGCCACACUGGGACUGAGACACGGCCCAGACUCCUACGGGAGGCAGCAGUGGGGAAUAUUGGACAAUGGGCGAAAGCCUGAUCCAGCAAUGCCGCGUGAGUGAUGAAGGCCUUAGGGUUGUAAAGCUCUUUUACCCGGGAUGAUAAUGACAGUACCGGGAGAAUAAGCUCCGGCUAACUCCGU